rnacentral:tRNA from 1 species
GGCCUGGUAGUUCAGUUGGUUAGAAUGCCCGCCCUUUCACGGCGGUAACAGGGGUUCAAUUCCCCUACGAGUCACCA